rnacentral:tRNA from 1 species
GCCGGGAUGGCGGAAUUGGUAGACGCAGCGGACUCAAAAUCCGCCGGUGGCAACGCCAUGAGAGUUCAAGUCUCUCUCCCGGUA